UGCCUUACACAUGCAAGUCGAACGGCAGCACGGGUGCUUGCACCUGGUGGCGAGUGGCGAACGGGUGAGUAAUACAUCNGAACAUGUCCUGUAGUGGGGGAUAGCCCGGCGAAAGCCGGAUUAAUACCGCAUACGAUCUGAGGAUGAAAGCGGGGGACCUCCGGGCCUCGCGCUAUAGGGUUGGCCGAUGGCUGAUUAGCUAGUUGGUGGGGUAAAGGCCUACCAAGGCGACGAUCAGUAGCUGGUCUGAGAGGACGACCAGCCACACUGGGACUGAGACACGGCCCAGACUCCUACGGGAGGCAGCAGUGGGGAAUUUUGGACAAUGGGCGAAAGCCUGAUCCAGCAAUGCCGCGUGUGUGAAGAAGGCCUUCGGGUUGUAAAGCACUUUUGUCCGGAAAGAAAUCCUUGGUUCUAAUAUAGCCGGGGGAUGACGGUACCGGAAGAAUAAGCACCGGCUAACUACGUGCCAGCAGCCGCGGUAAUACGUAGGGUGCAAGCGUUAAUCGGAAUUACUGGGCGUAAAGCGUGCGCAGGCGGUUUGCUAANACCGAUGUGAAAUCCCCGGGCUCAACCUGGGAACUGCAUUGGUGACUGGNAGGCUAGA
rnacentral:rRNA from 1 species